rnacentral:misc_RNA from 1 species
UCCGAGUUGACCCCGGCAGUCUCCUAUGAGUCCCCGCCAUUACGCGCUGGCAACAUAGAACGAGGGUUGCGCUCGUUGCGGGACUUAACCCAACAUCUCACGACACGAGCUGACGACAACCAUGCACCACCUGUGCAGAGCCCUUGCGGACCCCAUAUCUCUAUGAGUUUUCCCUGCAUGUCAAGCCUUGGUAAGGUUCUUCGCGUUGCAUCGAAUUAAGCCACAUGCUCCGCCGCUUGUGCGGGCCCCCGUCAAUUCCUUUGAGUUUUAGCCUUGCGGCCGUACUCCCCAGGCGGGGCGCUUAAUGCGUUAGCUUCGGCACGGACCCCGUGGAAGGGAACCCACACCUAGCGCCCAACGUUUACGGCGUGGACUAC